rnacentral:rRNA from 1 species
CAACCGCUCAGACAUCCAUCCCUACGCUCGCCCGCCCUAUCUAUCUGCGCGCUGGCAGGUAGGGGCAACUCUAUGUGA